GAUGAACGCUGGCGGCGUGCCUAAUACAUGCAAGUCGAGCGAAUGGAUUAAGAGCUUGCUCUUAUGAAGUUAGCGGCGGACGGGUGAGUAACACGUGGGUAACCUGCCCAUAAGACUGGGAUAACUCCGGGAAACCGGGGCUAAUACCGGAUAACAUUUUGAACCGCAUGGUUAGAAAUUGAAAGGCGGCUUCGGCUGUCACUUAUGGAUGGACCCGCGUCGCAUUAGCUAGUUGGUGAGGUAACGGCUCACCAAGGCAACGAUGCGUAGCCGCCCUGAGAGGGUGCUCGGCCACACUGGGACUGAGACACGGCCCAGACUCCUACGGGAGGCAGCAGUAGGGAAUCUUCCGCAAUGGACGAAAGUCUGACGGAGCAACGCCGCGUGAGUGAUGAAGGCUUUCGGGUCGUAAAACUCUGUUGUUAGGGAAGAACAAGUGCUAGUUGGAUAAGCUGGCACCUUGACGGUACCUAACCAGAAAGCCACGGCUAACUACGUGCCAGCCGCCGCGGUAA
rnacentral:rRNA from 1 species